GGCCUUGGUGAAGGGCCAUUAUUGUGGUAACAUUUAAGAAACCAGAAAGCAAACGGGAAGGAGUAACGCCUUCUGCCCUUCCUUCAGGCUUGCAUUCUCCCUCCUGUGCUCCCUAGCUUCAGCACCUAUCAGGGAACCCACGGCAAAUGAGCCAGCUGGAAAUGUGAUUUGCAGAGUUGCAGCCCCGGCACCACAGGGCCUCACAAAGUAGAACACAGAAGGGUUCUGCAGGAUAUACACGAAGUAUGGCACCAACAUCUGCUUCUGGUGAAGGCUUCAUGAAGCUUCCACCCAUGACAGAAGGCGAAGAACUGUUGCCAGCAUCAUGCUACAAGCCUGAAGGGAAGGUCUACUGACAGAGAAGGACAGAGACCAGGGAAACACAGAAAAGGAGAGACAAAGCCUUGACAUACCAAACCAGUGCCUGGCCUACCUAUGGACU
rnacentral:lncRNA from 1 species